rnacentral:tRNA from 1 species
GCUUAAAUAGUUUUAAAAAAAAUUUCAAUUUGUGGAAUUGAGGAUGUUAGUGUAACUUUGAGCA